CUUAUGUUAUGAUGAAAAACACAGUCAACAGUUAUCCCUGUCUUAAAGAAUACAUGUGGAUUUUAUAAUUAGACUCUGAACAUAUU
rfam:Botryotinia fuckeliana T4 unplaced genomic scaffold BcT4_SuperContig_O_V3__V4, whole genome shotgun sequence.